rnacentral:tRNA from 1 species
GUGGGUGUAGCUCAGCUGGUUAGAGCGUCGGGUUGUGGCCCCGAAGGUCGCCGGUUCGAAUCCGGUCACUCACCCCA